CAGCCAUCAUUUAAAGAAAGCGUAAUAGCUCACUGGUCGAGUCGGCCUGCGCGGAAGAUGUAACGGGGCUAAACCAUGCACCGAAGCUGCGGCAGCGAACGUAUCACCCAAGACAACUUUACGGAGUUGACGAUUGACGGAGCGAAGCGACGUCAAAGCGUUCAUUAAAGUCGAGUUGGCUUAGGGAUACGUUCGUUGGGUAGGGGAGCGUUCUGUAAGCCUGCGAAGGUGGCCUGUGAGGGUUGCUGGAGGUAUCAGAAGUGCGAAUGCUGACAUAAGUAACGAUAAAGCGG
rnacentral:rRNA from 1 species